GGUCCCGUAGUGUAGCGGUUAACACGCCUGCCUGUCACGCAGGAGAUCGCGGGUUCGAGUCCCGUCGGGACCG
rnacentral:tRNA from 5 species